rnacentral:rRNA from 1 species
UACGUAGGGCGCAAGCGUUAUCCGGAAUUAUUGGGCGUAAAGAGCUCGUAGGCGGUUUGUCGCGUCUGCCGUGAAAGUCCGGGGCUUAACUCCGGAUCUGCGGUGGGUACGGGCAGACUAGAGUGCAGUAGGGGAGACUGGAAUUCCUGGUGUAGCGGUGAAAUGCGCAGAUAUCAGGAGGAACACCGAUGGCGAGGGCAGGUCUCUGGGCUGUAACUGACGCUGAGGAGCGAAAGCAUGGGGAGCGAACAGG